UACGUAGGGUGCAAGCGUUAAUCGGAAUUACUGGGCGUAAAGCGCGCGCAGGCGGUCCUUUAAGUCUGAUGUGAAAGCCCACGGCUCAACCGUGGAGGGUCAUUGGAAACUGGGGGACUUGAGUGCAGAAGAGGAAAGUGGAAUUCCACGUGUAGCGGUGAAAUGCGUAGAGAUGUGGAGGAACACCAGUGGCGAAGGCGACUUUCUGGUCUGUAACUGACGCUGAGGCGCGAAAGCGUGGGGAGCAAAAAGG
rnacentral:rRNA from 1 species